ACUUCUGGGAGAGGUGCAAGUAUCAACCAGUUGGAGACACAGGGAAAGGGUGAUAUAAUGCAGAAAGUGACUUGAACAAAUUUACACAGAAGGCAGUGAAGUGUGAUUCAAAUUCAAGCAGUCUAGACUGUGCCCCACACAACUCUGCAGCAUAACCUUGCAGUAUGAAAAUAAUGCCUCUCAUGCAGAGUUAUCAAAAGCAAGGAAAGUUUGAGAAGCUUUCACAGCCAAGAAGAGCCUGAAGAGACAUGAUAAACAAAUAAAAUGGUGAAUCCUGGAUGCAGCCCUGGAAAAACAACAAAGCGACCUCAGGUUAUGUCUUCUUUUAUAAGACUACCCACUGCCUCUUCUCAAGUAUAUCUGAAGUAUGGCUGGUUGGAGUAUAUCAGGACCCUCAGAGGAGAAAAGCAUAUAAAACCAGCACACCUGAACCCAGCAACCAUACGUAGCUGCUGGUGAGGAGGAAGGGACCCUGAGGAAGAAGGAAGAACCCAGUCUACAAGUGAAUGGAGAGAGAGAAGAGUUAAGAUUGCUGAAGGACUGGUGGUUUACUAUAGCACGGAUGGAGCUUUUUAUUUACCAAAAUGACUCUUCUUCUAACUGAAGGAACAUUAAAAAAAUGACGUGUUUUGCAAAAGACUUAAUCCAGGAUAGAAAAGGGGAUAGCACAGAAGAGGAGUUUGAAGGAGCAGAAGAAAA
ensembl:lncRNA LINC01440 long intergenic non-protein coding RNA 1440